rnacentral:ribozyme from 1 species
GUGUCAUUCUUUUUCUUUUUUUUGUUGGCAAAGAGAGACAGUGCAGUCGCGCGCUGGUCGGCACUAACCCCAUCCAUUCACCUAAAAGAAGAGCGUCAUCGACGACACA